GGAGAGGUGGCUGAGAGGUUGAAAGCGGCAGAUUGCUAAUCUGUUGUAUAAUUUUGUUAUACCGAGGGUUCGAAUCCCUUCCUCUCCU
rnacentral:tRNA from 1 species